UCUUGUGCUGAAAGCCAUACGGACUCCCGUUCCUUUAGCUUCUAGCAACCGUUUUGAGAAUCCUUUAGCGCGGUGAAAACCGCUAUUAUUCCGACGGGUCUCUUGCCGGCUCUACUUUCCGAUGUCGGAAAUGGUAGCUGGAAUAGGCCAAGGUCCCGGGAUCCUCAUUCUGUUGGGUCUGGAUUUGUUGAUGAUAUUUGUGGGCCUUCAGAUAAUUUAAAUGCGGCGCAGAAUACUUUUCAGGGAUUUGAGUCUUCUGCUGGAGGGAGCAGUGAAGUUCAGCAGAGUGCUUACACUCAAUAAAGCAGUUACCAAAAUUAUAUUGCUCAAGGUAGCAACUCUAGCAUUUGUCCUUCUCAGUAUGUUGCGCAGACUCUCCAAAAUGCUGCCGCCCCCGUGUCGGAUCCUCUAAAAAUGCACUAUUUUUGGAGGAUCCGACACACACCUAGGGACAUUUUCGGUGAGUCCGAGCAGCGUGGAUAUUUUAUUUGCCUUACCAGAAUGUUAAUCCUCAUCAAGCGCCAUACCGAAGCGUCAAGACGCAACAGCAGUCUUACCAGCGUAUGAGUGCACAAGGUUCUUACUGCUAUUGAUGUUGCAUGCUAAGUUCCUUUGCCAACUGAUGGCAAAUAUUAGGCACUUUGGUACUUUAAUGUAGUGUUUCAUUAUGUUAUGUUGCUGCUAUGUCAGCAUGUUUAGAUGGUUCGAGAGGUUUAAGAUCUUGCAUCAUAUUGAAGCUUUCUGGCAUUCAUGAAAAGUGACACAUUCUAAUCGGGCAGAGCACCAUGGAUUCUUCACUUCAUUUCCUGUACUGCCUUUGGCGAAUGUAGAUAUGCCCGUGUGACCAGAAUUGCUGUAUUAUGGUCUUUCCUUCAUUCCUGGCAAGACUGGAGGUUCAUAUUUGUUGGCAACCUUUAUCUGCUUUGAUGGUUGCAAGCAUACUUGAAUACUCGAGGUUAGUAUGCGUUUGGCUCUAAAUUUUCGUGUGUCAAUUCGACAAUUUUCAUAUCUAAAUUGGAUUAGAUUAAUUUAUUCAAUUAAACAUAAUUAAAAUUUGAAUCUUCAUGAAAUGCACUAUAGGCUGCGAUAUUACUCAUGUCUAAAUAGGGGAAGUAAAAAUGUCAAACAUUUUGUGAUUAAAAACAUUAAACUAGCUGUGAGCUGUCUCUCCCUCAUUUUUCUCUAACCAGCUGGGCUCAAACCUCGGGCUGUAUACUGGUCCCAUGGGCUAAAAACAGUGAGAAAAGGUUGGGCUGGUUGGACAGGGUCAAACCCAUGUGUAACUUUAGCAGGGAUGUCUGGGCCUUGCUGGCCCACGUGGAACGAUUCUCUUGUGGGACAAUAAAUUGUUUGAUAUACUUGCUUAGCAUUCGCUUUACAAGAAUUAUGUUUUAGUCCUCUUAUAAUUUGUUUUGACAUCGAACAGCUGGGCUAUCCUGAUUUUCCUUCAUUCCGUUCUUUCAUUUGUUUCUUCAUCCUGUUGCUAUGAUAAAGGAGACUGGUACUCUGCAUUGCAUUCUAAUACCUUUUGAAUUAAUAUAAGCUUGGGCAUGCACUUGAUUUA